rnacentral:rRNA from 1 species
GAUGAACGCUGGCGGCGUGCCUAAUACAUGCAAGUCGAGCGAAGCGGGGACGGGUGAGUAACACGUGGAUAACCUCCUAUACGAUUGGGAUAACUUCGGGAAACCCGAGCUAAACCGGAUACUUAGAGAUGGAUCCGCGCUGCAUUGGCUAGUUGGUAAGUUCACGGCUAACCAAGGCAACGAUGCAUAGCCGACCGGAGAGGGGGAUCGGCCACACUGGAACUGAGACACGAUCCAGACUCCUACGGGAGGCAGCAGUAGGGAAUCUUCCGCAAUGGGCGAAAGCCUGACGGGGCAACGCCGCGUGAGUGAUGAAGGUCUUCGGAUCGUAAAACUCUGUUAUUAGGGAAGCGGUACCUAAUCAGAAAGCCACGGCUAACUACGUGCCAGCAGCCGCGGUAAUAC